GGAGUCGGUGCCCUUUGCGAAUCCGACCGACAAGCCCCAGAAGUAUAGUAAAUUACCAGAUGUGACUCAGGUAGACCACCUUCACUUGUGUACCCUGCUCACCACCUUCUUCAAUCCUGUCGCUGAAAAGAUGAUCAGCAGACAUUAAUUUUCAGACGCCAAUCUACCUCGUUCAAGCCUGUAGCCAUUUCACACAGCCACUCAGAUGGUACAGGUACUCGAAAGAUCAGGAAACAGUUACUUGGUAUCCAUUGUAAUACAUUUCUUCCCCUCUCAAUUGGACAUUAAGACCUAUUCAUUGCAUAAGCUUUAGGUUUUGAGAUUUUCACAACAUAAAGCCCAUCACUGACAGAGUAAUGAAGGAAAUGUUCCACAUAUUAAUAUAUAGUUGAGAAAAGAGGGCUUUGUAGAUUUAUUUUUUUUAAUUCAGGGCCUUAAUUAUUAGUGAUUAUUUGUACCUUUAUAUUUUUGGCAAGUACACAUGAUUAAACUCUUUAUAAAUUCAGAAAAUGAAUAAUGUCUUAAAAUCAAGGACAGCCCUAAGGCAUCAGAGAGAUUGUUUUUUUUUUCAGUAUCAUGAAGGAAAAUGGUUGCCAGCAAGCAGUGUGGCCAGGUUAUCCAAGGAGACAACUGUCUCUGCUGCCCAGGGACCAGCUUUGGAAGCUUCCUUGUUGUCCAGAGCUGCUUCACUGAUUCACUGUACAGGCUGGCCUUCCCUGCAGCAGUCAGCAUUUAAAAAUUUGUCUUCAGCCCUGCUUGUCAGCAGGCAGCUUCAGUUGUAAAAAGUA